CAAAAACAUCACCUCUAGCAUUACAAGUAUUAGAGGCACCGCCUGCCCAGUGACCAAGGUUAAACGGCCGCGGUAUUCUGACCGUGCAAAGGUAGCAUAAUCACUUGUUCCUUAAUUAGGGACUAGAAUGAACGGCUAAACGAGGGUUUGACUGUCUCUUAUUUCCUAUCCGUGAAACUGACCUUCCCGUGAAGAGGCGGGAAUAACAAAACAAGACGAGAAGACCCUAUGGAGCUUUAACUUAUUAAUUUAAUUUCAACAACUAAAAAUCUAAUGAAUUAAAACCUGAAAACUAAAUUAAUGAUUUAGGUUGGGGUGACCUCGGAGAAUAAAACAACCUCCGAAAGAUUCAAAUUAAGACUGACAGGUCAAAAUGAGUAUGCUUAUCACCAAUCGACCCAUUACUUUUGAUCGACGAACCAAGUUACCCUAGGGAUAACAGCGCAAUCCUAUUUAAGAGUCCCUAUCGAAAUUAGGGUUUACGACCUCGAUGUUGGAUCAGGAUAUCCCAAUGGUGCAACAGCUAUUAA
rnacentral:rRNA from 1 species